rnacentral:tRNA from 1 species
UCCUUGUUAGUAUAGUGGUGAGUAUCCCCAUCUGUCAUGCGGGAGACUGGGGUUCGAUUGCCCGACAGGGAG